rnacentral:rRNA from 1 species
AGUGAACGCUGGCGGUAGGCCUAACACAUGCAGGUCGAACGGCAGCACAGUAAGAGCUUGCUCUUACGGGUGGCGAGUGGCGGACGGGUGAGGAAUACAUCGGAAUCUACUUUUUCGUGGGGGAUAACGUAGGGAAACUUACGCUAAUACCACAUACGACCUACGGGUGAAAGCAGGGGAUCUUCGGACCUUGCGCGAUUGAAUGAGCCGAUGUCGGAUUAGCUAGUUGGCGGGGUAAAGGCCCACCAAGGCGACGAUCCGUAGCUGGUCUGAGAGGAUGAUCAGCCACACUGGAACUGAGACACGGUCCAGACUCCUACGGGAGGCAGCAGUGGGGAAUAUUGGACAAUGGGCGCAAGCCUGAUCCAGCCAUACCGCGUGGGUGAAGAAGGCCUUCGGGUUGUAAAGCCCUUUUGUUGGGAAAGAAAAGCAGCAGGUUAAUACCCCGCUGUUCUGACGGUACCCAAAGAAUAAGCACCGGCUAACUUCGUG